UGGCUCUCGCAUCGAUGAAGAACGCAGCGAAAUGCGAUAAGUAAUGUGAAUUGCAGAAUUCAGUGAAUCAUCGAAUCUUUGAACGCACCUUGCGCUCCUUGGUAUUCCUUGGAGCAUGCCUGUUUGAGUAUCAUGAAAUUCUCAAAGUAAAUCUUUUGUUAAUUCAAUGGACUUUGCUUUGGACUUGGAGGUCUGCAGAUUUCGCAGUCUGCUCCUCUCAAAUGCAUUAGCUGGAUCUCAGUGAGCUUGGUUCCACUCGGCGUGAUAAGUAUCACUCGCCGAGGACACCUGUAAAAAAGGUGGCCAGGGUCGCGGAUGAACCGCUUCCAACGGUCUAUUUGUUUAGACAAUAAAUUUAUGAUCUGAUCUCAAAUCAGGUAGGACUACCCGCUGA
rnacentral:misc_RNA from 1 species